AGUGAACGCUGGCGGUAGGCCUAACACAUGCAAGUCGAACGGCAGCACAGUAAGAGCUUGCUCUUACGGGUGGCGAGUGGCGGACGGGUGAGGAAUACAUCGGAAUCUACUUUUUCGUGGGGGAUAACGUAGGGAAACUUACGCUAAUACUGCAUACGACCUACGGGUGAAAGCAGGGGAUCUUCGGACCUUGCGCGAUUGAAUGAGCCGAUGUCGGAUUAGCUAGUUGGCGGGGUAAAGGCCCACCAAGGCGACGAUCCGUAGCUGGUCUGAGAGGAUGAUCAGCCACACUGGAACUGAGACACGGUCCAGACUCCUACGGGAGGCAGCAGUGGGGAAUAUUGGACAAUGGGCGCAAGCCUGAUCCAGCCAUACCGCGUGGGUGAAGGAGGCCUUCGGGUUGUAAAGCCCUUUUGUUGGGAAAGAAAAGCAGCAGGUUAAUACCCCGCUGUUCUGACGGUACCCAAAGAAUAAGCACCGGCUAACUUCGUG
rnacentral:rRNA from 1 species